rnacentral:rRNA from 1 species
CAGCGACUUAUAUUCUGUAGCAAGGUUAACCGAAUAGGGGAGCCGAAGGGAAACCGAGUCUUAACUGGGCGUUAAGUUGCAGGGUAUAGACCCGAAACCCGGUGAUCUAGCCAUGGGCAGGUUGAAGGUUGGGUAACACUAACUGGAGGACCGAACCGACUAAUGUUGAAAAAUUAGCGGAUGACUUGUGGCUGGGGGUGAAAGGCCAAUCAAACCGGGAGAUAGCUGGUUCUCCCCGAAAGCUAUUUAGGUAGCGCCUCGUGAAUUCAUCUCCGGGGGUAGAGCACUGUUUCGGCAAGGGGGUCAUCCCGA